AACGACUCUCGGCAACGGAUAUCUCGGCUCUCGCAUCGAUGAAGAACGUAGCGAAAUGCGAUACUUGGUGUGAAUUGCAGAAUCCCGUGAACCAUCGAGUUUUUGAACGCAAGUUGCGCCCGAAGCCUAUGGUUGAGGGCACGUCUGCCUGGGCGUCACGC
rnacentral:rRNA from 1 species